CAAAACAAACUGGCGUAUAAUACUUGCGAAUUUGUUUGGAGUUAGUGGAAGAUAAAAUAUAUUAUACCUACUUCAAAAGCGUAUAAUUUAAUGGGAAAAAACAUUUUACAUCCCAAUCCCCGUCUUCGAUUUAUAACUGCAGAGCAGACUGUAUUUAACUACGAGAGGGGAGGCGAAAUUUCGGUCUAAACGUACAUAAUAUGUACAGUUACAUUAAAGCCUAAAAUUCGUACACACAUGUAAAAGUAUAAAUGAUUUAUUGCGACACUCGGCUACUAACGUGACCUUCCAUAUAAUAUAAUAUUAUAAUAUUAUGUGUACAUACCGGAUGAUUUAUAGAACGCAAGCGCUAUGUACAAAUUCAAGUUUGCAGUCAAUUUUUGUGGUUCCCAAAAAUAAAGACA